ACGACCUUACUUGAACAAGAUCUGUUCUAUAUGAUCGUAAUACUAUGUCCUUGAUUUCUAAGGAGACAAGAACAUAAAGUAGGGGACCAAAACUU
rnacentral:snoRNA from 1 species